AGAGGUUGAUUCUGGCUCAGGACGAACGCUGGCGGCGCGCCUAACACAUGCAAGUCGAACGAGCGAGAGAGAGCUUGCUUUCUCAAGCGAGUGGCGAACGGGUGAGUAACGCGUGAGGAACCUGCCUCAAAGAGGGGGACAACAGUUGGAAACGACUGCUAAUACCGCAUAAGCCCACGACCCGGCAUCGGGUAGAGGGAAAAGGAGCAAUCCGCUUUGAGAUGGCCUCGCGUCCGAUUAGCUAGUUGGUGAGGUAACGGCCCAUUAAGGCGACGAUCGGUAGCCGGACUGAGAGGUUGAACGGCCACAUUGGGACUGAGACACGGCCCAGACUCCUACGGGAGGCAGCAGUGGGGAAUAUUGCACAAUGGGGGAAACCCUGAUGCAGCGACGCCGCGUGGAGGAAGAAGGUCUUCGGAUUGUAAACUCCUGUUGUUGAGGAAGAUAAUGACGGUACUCAACAAGGAAGUGACGGCUAACUACGUGCCAGCAGCCGCGGUAAAACGUAGGUCACAAGCGUUGUCCGGAAUUACUGGGUGUAAAGGGAGCGCAGGCGGGAAGACAAGUUGGAAGUGAAAUCCAUGGGCUCAACCCAUGAACUGCUUUCAAAACUGUUUUUCUUGAGUAGUGCAGAGGUAGGCGGAAUUCCCGGUGUAGCGGUGGAAUGCGUAGAUAUCGGGAGGAACACCAGUGGCGAAGGCGGCCUACUGGGCACCAACUGACGCUGAGGCUCGAAAGUGUGGGUAGCAAACAGGAUUAGAUACCCUGGUAGUCCACACUGUA
rnacentral:rRNA from 1 species